rnacentral:tRNA from 2 species
GCACCCGUAGCUCAGUGGAUAGAGCACCGGACUUCUAAUCCGACGGCCGCAGGUUCGAAUCCUGCCGGGUGCGCCA